GAAAGGAGGCGGUCCUUCUCCUUAGCAACGGGAAUGUUGAAGCGGUUGCUAAGGGGGAUGAAGGAGAUGCCCUGGGGAAGGCCGCAUAUGGCAGAGACAGGAGACAACGGCAUUUCUUAGCAACAGCCAAAGAACCAACAUCACAAAGGAUCUAAGCUUCCCGAGCACAGGGAAGGGCUGUUUUUUCCACAGCCACAACCAAGAGAAAUGGAUUUGGAUUUUCUGGGAGGAAACGAACGUAUUCAAGGCAGGGAUCUGCAAUAAAAUGUUGCAGUGUGAGGUGGUCUGCCAUCUUCCCACAGAUUCCAUUC